UGUUGUUGUGGUAUUAUCCGCUGCAGAUGCUUUUGGUCAAAAGCCUGUUGUUGUUGAUCUGAAGAUGCCUUCCUACUAAUUGGAGAUUCUGGCUCAAACUAGACUCUAGCUUUACUAGAAAGUGUGUUCACUGCUGAUCUUGAAUCAGUACUCUCCCCUCCUGACCUUGAACUCCCCUAUAUAUUCAAGAAAUAAACACCCAACAAAAAAUAAUCAAAUGGGUACUAAAAAUCCACAAGGAAAAAAACUCUAUUUUCAGAAGGGAAAAUCAAGAAUCAUUUAAAUAUUAAUAAUUCCAAAAUGUGUUCUUGAAAAAUACACAAAAAAGAAAGAAAAGUAAAAACAAAGCACCCAUAAUAUGACUGUGUGCAACAACUGCGGAUUUCCUGGGUAAGAUGACCAUUCCUUCUUAUUGAAUUGUUUUCCAUUUUCUUAAGUAAAUCAAAUCUACUGGAAUUGGAUAUUCUCUCUUGCUGUAUGGGAAUCUUUUAUUUUGUCCUGUGUUUACUUUUGAAAUCUACAUCUUUUAUGGGAAUUUAAUUGGAAACUGGAAAUAUCUAGAUAAUCCUUCAUAUACAACAUGUCCGGUUCUAGCUGAUAUUGCACUGAACCUGAUUGAUAGCAUGGAAAUUUAGGCUGAUUAUUUAAGUGGUUAAACAUGAUUUAUCUUCUAGCAGAAAGGGCUUCUUCACGUGCCCAUAGAAGCAAAUAUAUUUUUAGGAAUAUACAACUGCAAUUCUUAGGAAAACGUUGGCUCGAAGAAUGGGUUUGUGAUCUCUGCUACAUUAUUUUCUUGUCAGUCACAUUACUGCUGAGUGCACUUCAACAACCAUGUGCUGGAUAAGUCAUUGGGCUACAUUGCUGCUGAGUGCACUUCAACAAUCAUUUCGGUCUAAUUUUUAUGUGGAAGUACAAGUGAUUGGGCUACAUUAGAGCUUUCAAAAGUACAUACAUAAGAUGUUUGUUGACUUAUAAACAUGACAUGCUGAAUAAUAAGUUUGCAUCAUAAUCUGAGGACAUCAUCAUAACCUUUGGUCAUUUAUAACUACUACUUGGAUCAAAUUUUUAGCCAAACUUGCUAUCUAGAAUUUCAGAUCAUGUUUUGAUCACUUCUAUGGUAAUUCAAGUAUUCAAGGCUCUUCUUCAUCUUCAGUUUCAUUGCGUUAACUUCUGGAGAAGAUUUUUUUUUUGAAAUAACAACAGUGUGUAAUUUGGCUUGUUCAGUUUAUGCGGCUAGGGCAUGAAUCUGUAUUUUGCAUGUAUGGUUAUUGCUAAAGCUUUUCUCUUGUAUGAGACUGAGUUUUUUUAUUAACUGUUACAAUUUAGCUUAAAAGUAUAUGCAAUUUAAUGUUAUGUAAAACUUUGGUAUGCAGGUUCAUGACAAGGCUGCUAAGUGGAGAUAUAAUCGUUUUCCAUGGU
rnacentral:lncRNA from 1 species